ensembl:misc_RNA Metazoa_SRP Metazoan signal recognition particle RNA
GCUGGGCAUGGUGGUGCAUGCCUGUAAUCCCAGCUACUCAGGAGGCUGAGGUGGGAGAAUUGCUUGAACCUGGGAGGCGGAGGCUGCAGUGAGCCGAGAUCGCGCCACUGCACUCCACCCUGGGUGACAGAGCAAGACUCCGUCUCAA